rnacentral:rRNA from 1 species
ACAUCCAGAGAAUUUAGCAGAGAUGCUUUAGUGCCUUCGGGAACUCUGAGACAGGUGCUGCAUGGCUGUCGUCAGCUCGUGUUGUGAAAUGUUGGGUUAAGUCCCGNAACGAGUGCAACCCUUAUCCUUUGUUGCCAGCACGUAAUGGUGGGAACUCAAAGGAGACUGCCGGUGAUAAACCGGAGGAAGGUGGGGAUGACGUCAAGUCAUCAUGGCCCUUACGAGUAGGGCUACACACGUGCUACAAUGGCGCAUACAAAGAGAAGCGACCUCGCGAGAGCAAGCGGACCUCAUAAAGUGCGUCGUAGUCCGGAUUGGAGUCUGCAACUCGACUCCAUGAAGUCGGAAUCGCUAGUAAUCGUAAAUCAGAAUGUUACGGUGAAUACGUUCCCGGGCCUUGUACACACCGCCCGUCACACCAUGGGAGUGGGUUGCAAAAGAAGUAGAUAGCUUAACCUUCGGGAGGGCGUUUACCACUUUGUGAUUCAUGACUGGGGUGAAGUCGUAACAAGGUAAGCGUAGUGCU